rnacentral:rRNA from 1 species
UGAGGAAUAUUGGUCAAUGGGCGAGAGCCUGAACCAGCCAAGUCGCGUGAAGGAAGAAGGAUCUAUGGUUUGUAAACUUCUUUUACAGGGGGGUAAAGAGAGUGACGCGUCACUUAUUGCAAGUACCCUGUGAAUAAGCAUCGGCUAACUCCGUGCCAGCAGCCGAGGUAAUACGGAGGAUGCGAGCGUUAUCCGGAUUUAUUGGGUUUAAAGGGUGCGUAGGUGGACUGUUUAGUCAGUUGUGAAAUGCUGAUGCUCAACGUUGGCAUUGCCGUGGAAACUGACAGGCUUGAGAGUGAUUGAGGCAGGCGGAAUGUGUGGUG